GUGGCAGGAAGCGCGCGCUGGAGGCGGGGGCGGGCUGCCGGCCGAGACUUCUGGAUGGCGGCGGCCGCGGCUCCGCCCCGGGUUCCCACCGCCUGAAGGGCGAGACAAGCCCGACCUGCUACAGGUGUGGAAACAGGAAGAGAACUAGAACUGGAAGUAAAGCAUUGAAGAUGUGACUGAAUUGCUGCAAUCUCAUGAUCAAAUUUGAAUGGAUGAGGAGUUGCUUUUUAGGGAUGAGCAAAGAAAGUGGUUUCUCGAGAUGGAAUCUACUGGUGAAGUUGCUGUGAACAUUGUUAAAAUGCCAAUAAAGGAUUUAGGAAUUACAGAAACCUGGUUGAUAAAGCAGUGCCAGGGUGUGAGAGAGUUGACUUCAAUUUUGAAAUAAGUUCCACUGGCUGGGUGUGGUGGCUCACACCUGCAAUCCCAGUACUUUAGGAGGCCGAGACUGGUAGAUCAUUUGAGGUCAGGAGUUCAAGACCAGCCUUGCCAACAUGGUGAAACCCCACCUCUACCAAAUUAGCCAGGUUGCUCCUUGAGGGCAGGACAGUUCUUAUGGCUUUAUCCGUUGCGUAAGCACAGAGAGGUCUGCGAGGUCAAAACUAUUGUCAUGAUAGCAAGAUGCCUGUCUUUUUCAUUUAUUCUCACGGUGUGCAGAGGCUACAUGAUGUGUGAUGACAUCCUCAUUGAUGUUAAUGAAUGGUGCUAUACUUGAAUUUUCUAAGGUGUCAUUAGAUGAGGUCUUGCUGUGUUGCCCAGGCUAUUCACAGCUGCCAUCAUAGUGAACUACAGCCUGAAACUCCUGGGUUCAAGAGAUCCUUCUGCCUCAGCCUCCUGAGUAGCUGGAACUAUAGGCAUGCGCCACCAAGCCUGGGCUUUUAAAAAAAUUUUAAAAAGAAUUUUGAGACAGGAUCUUGCCAUGUUGCUCAGGCUAGUCUUCAACUCCUAGCCCUGAGUGAUCUUGCUUUGGGCCUCUCAAAAUGUUGAGUUAAUAGGCGUGAGCCACCAUACCCAGCCAAAAAUUUUUUUAGAGAUGGGAAUGGAAUGAUCUUGAAUAGUGUUGGUGCCACCUAUGUUGUGGCAUCAUUUUGAAACCAAUCAUUCAGAGUGCUUUUUUUGGUAAGGCAUUAUUUUUUAAUGCAGGUAUGCCACUACUGGGAAAAAAAAAAAAACAGGUUUUAAAGCUAGAAAUGAAAAGCUACUUAAGUAUCUUAAAGGAUAAGUUACUUUAUUAUACACUAGAAACAUACACAAUAGCUGAAAAACUUAAAAAAUCUCACACUGCUGAAUGUCUCUGCUGGCUGAAGUGUAAGUAAAAGAUCAUAGUAGUGCCGCUGUUGAGUGAUAAAGCAACUUGUCAUUAAAGAUGUGUGUGCAGACAUGGAUUCUGAGUUAAUAUCUCAUCUGUAGAAGUAUAUAUUUGUCCCUUGCUUUGGGAUUGGUUUCUGGACAGCACUCCCCCACCCUUGCUGGCCAUUUGCCAAGGACACCAAAACCCAAGGAUGUUGAAUUCCCUUUUAUAAAAUGGCGCUGUAUCUGCAUACAACUUACACACAUCCUCCCAUAUACUUUAAAUCAUUUCCAGAUUUCUUAUACUUCAUACAAUGUGAAUGCUAUAUAAAUAGUUGUUACAUUGUGUACUUAUAUUUGUACUAUUGUAUUAAAUAUUCUCAAAUAUUUUCAAGCACAUUUGGUUGAAUCUGCAGAUGCAGAACCUGAGGAUAUGGAGGGCUGACUGUGCUAAUACGUUAUCAAUGGAUGCGUGCAUAAACAUGGCUGGACUUGUUACUUGGCUUGUAUUUGCCAGGCAUCAGCACCAACUAGUUAAAGAUACUCUUACGUGAAAGCUUGGCAACAAACACAUGUCCUGAAAUAAUGCAAGUGUAGAAUAACUUUUUAAAAUCUCAUGGUUUAUGCUAAACUAUAUGUUGACAUAAGAGUGGUGAUAAGGCAACAGUAGGUAAAAGUAAAAUUUCAGGCACCUUGGCACAAACUGUGGCAGUGGCAUCAAACUCUAAGUUAUUUUUCACUGCCAUGCAUUUGUGGUGUGAACCCCCACAAAAGAAAAAAACCAGUUUCACUCAAGAAUGUCCUUGUGAAAGCAGUGACAUUUUGUUAAAUCUUAAACCCUACAGUACAUAACUUUUUGAAAUGGUUGUCUCAAGAAAAAGCACUCAUGUAAGCUGAAUUAUCUGCUAUUUCCUUGGAGCCUAACAACUGACAGCAAUUGUUUUCAAUGAUAAAAUCCAAACGUUGAGUCAAAAUCAGAAUUUCGGGAAAACUUGUGUCUAAUAUCAGGAACUUGACAGCUUCCCAAUACUUCAUGAGAUAGUGAUAUUGAAAAUAAUUUUUUUUUUUUUUUGGGACAUCUGGCUGACUGCAACCUCUGUCUCCUGGGUUCAAGCAAUUCUCCUGCCUCAGCCUCCUGCAUAACUGGGACUACAGGUGUGUACCACUGUACCCGGCUAAUUUUUGUAUUUUUAGUAGAGAUGGGGUUUCACCAUGUUGGCCAGGGUGGUCUUGAACUCCUGACCUCAGGUGAUCCACCUUGGCCUCCCAAAGUGCUAGGAUUACAGGUUUAAGCCACUGUGCCCGGCCAAUGAUAUUUUAGGUAGUAUACAGUAAAAUGGGCCAACAUUUGGGAGAUUGACAUAACUCAGUGAAGCUAUAUUUUCCUAAUGACUAAUACGUGAGAUUAUAGAAAACUGCUAGUAACAUUGUAACCAAUUGAAUGCAAAAGAAACAAUUCAGUUGUCUUCUAUUUAAGUCAGACAUUUAGGGAAACAAUUGCCAAAAUGUAAAACAAUGCACCUAUUUUUUUAAAAAUAUGCAUUUGUUGCUAUAAUAUUUAAAUAUUUUACUUUCUAAUAUGGUAAGAUACUAGUAAAGUGAUUUGGGGCCCUCAAUCUUUAAGAAUGUGAAGGGAUUCUCUGAGGCCACAAAGUUUAAGAAAUGGCUACUCUAGCACAAACGCACAUAGUAAAUACUCAAGUACCUGUUGAAUGACUUCAUGGAGUUAAAGUGACUCCUGGUAUUAAAUCUGUAUGGCUGGGAUAAUGGGCAUGCUAGGACAGGAAGCAGAUUUCCUUAACUUCACC
rnacentral:lncRNA from 1 species